rnacentral:rRNA from 1 species
AUUGAACGCUGGCGGCAUGCUUUACACAUGCAAGUCGGACGAGUGGCGGACGGGUGAGUAACGCAUCGGAACCUACCUAGUAAAGGGGGAUAACUACUCGAAAGGAUAGCUAAUACCGCAUACUAUCAGAUCGGCCCAGGUGUGAUUAGCUGGUUGGCGGGGUAAAGGCCCACCAAGGCGACGAUCAGUAGCGGGUCUGAGAGGAUGAUCAGCCACACUGGGACUGAGACACGGCCCAGACUCCUACGGGAGGCAGCAGUGGGGAAUUUUGGACAAUGGGCGCAAGCCUGAUCCAGCCAUGCCGCGUGUCUGAAGAAGGCCUUCGGGUUGUAAAGGACUUUUGUCAGGGAAGCGGUACCUGAAGAAUAAGCACCGGCUAACUACGUGCCAGCCGCCGCGGUAAUAC